UAAUUAGUUUAAUUUAAAUUUCAUUUUUACCACUACAGAAAGUCAGAAGUGCAUUUUCCAACUGCAAACAGUUGCAAUGAACUUUUCCUGACUAAUCCACCAGGCUCACUGUAUCGCUUCUGGACGAGGCAACCUCUCAGUACUCCAGUGUGGACACCCCGUAUUUCUCAUGACCGCCUGAGGUCACUUCAGUCCUGCAUCUGCUAGGAGUGAGCAAGUAGGACUGGGAAAACCUAUGCCCAUCAGCCCUUUUAUACCAGCAUUGAGACCAAAGCAAUCUGGCAG
rnacentral:lncRNA from 1 species